UCUCUGGUGGCUCAGAUGGUAAAGAAUCUGCCUGUAAUGCAGGAGACCCAGGUUUGAUUCCUGGGUUGGGAA
rnacentral:tRNA from 1 species